rnacentral:rRNA from 1 species
UAGGGAAUCUUCGGCAAUGGACGAAAGUCUGACCGAGCAACGCCGCGUGAGUGAAGAAGGUUUUCGGAUCGUAAAACUCUGUUGUUAGAGAAGAACAAGGACGUUAGUAACUGAACGUCCCCUGACGGUAUCUAACCAGAAAGCCACGGCUAACUACGUGCCAGCAGCCGCGGUAAUACGUAGGUGGCAAGCGUUGUCCGGAUGUAUUGGGCGUAAAGCGAGCGCAGGCGGUUUCUUAAGUCUGAUGUGAAAGCCCCCGGCUCAACCGGGGAGGGUCAUUGGAAACUGGGAGACUUGAGUGCAGAAGAGGAGAGUGGAAUUCCAUGUGUAGCGGUGAAAUGCGUAGAUAUAUGGAGGAACACCAGUGACGAAGGCGGCUCUCUGGUCUGUAACUGACGCUGAGGCUCGAAAGCGUGGGGAGCAAACAGG